CCAUAUACAAUUCAAAUUGAAUUGGGAAAAAUAAUAUAUUAUAUAUUGACAAAAAAGGCUUUUGUCAUCAAAGGAUUAAGAAGGCAAAGGUUAGGAGCAACUAAGGCAGUAACUAAUCUGCCAAUCACGCUGAAAAGGAAAAAAAAUCAAUUGUUCCUUCAGUUAAAAGAAAAGAAAGGUUUAAUGUUGAUUGGAAAAUUCUUUCAGGUUUAAGAGAAUGUAGGUGACGGUGAGGAUCUCGUUGGCUAGAGGAUUCAGUAGCAUAUUCCUGGUGAGCCCCGCAUUUGUUCGUGUGGGCUAUAGUUUAUUUAUUCGUUAUGUUUCUUUUUCUUGAAAACUCUUAGUUUGAUCCAUAGUCAUGUCUUUAGAGUUUUGAGUAUUCUUUCA